rnacentral:rRNA from 1 species
GAACGUACGCUGGCGGCACGCCUAACACAUGCAAGUCGAACGAAGUAGCAAUACUUAGUGGCAGACGGGUGAGUAACAUGUAGGUAUCUGCCCUUUGGCCUGGAAUAACACGAGGAAACUUGUGCUAAUACCGGAUAAGUCUUUACGGAGAAAGCUUUAUGCACCAUUGGAUGAGCCUGCACUUGAUUAGUUUGUUGGUGGGGUAAUGGCCUACCAAGACUGUGAUCAAUAGCUGAUUUGAGAGGAUGAUCAGCCACAUUGGGACUGAGACACGGCCCAAACUCCUACGGGAGGCAGCAGUGGGGAAUCUUGCACAAUGGAGGAAACUCUGAUGCAGCGAUGCCGCGUGAGUGAAGAAGGCCUUUGGGUUGUAAAGCUCUUUCGUCGGGGAAGAAAAUGACUGUACCCGAAUAAGAAGGUCCGGCUAACUUCGUGCCAGCAGCCGCGGUAAUACGAAGGGACCUAGCGUAGUUCGGAAUUACUGGGCUUAAAGAGUUCGUAGGUGGUUGAAAAAGUUAGUGGUGAAAUCCCAGAGCUUAACUCUGGAACUGCCAUUAAAACUUUUCAGCUAGAGUAUGAUAGAGGAAAGCAGAAUUUCUAGUGUAGAGGUGAAAUUCGUAGAUAUUAGAAAGAAUACCAAUUGCGAAAGGCAGCUUUCUGGAUCAUUACUGACACUGAGGAACGAAAGCAUGGGUAGCGAAGAGGAUUAGAUACCCUCGUAGUCCAUGCCGUAAACGAUGUGUGUUAGACGUUGGAAAUUUAUUUUCAGUGUCGCAGGGAAACCGAUAAACACACCGCCUGGGGAGUACGACCGCAAGGUUAAAACUCAAAUGAAUUGACGGGGACCCGCACAAGUAGUGGAGCAUGUGGUUUAAUUCGAAGAUACGCGCAGAACCUUACCAACACUUGACAUGUUCGUCGCGACUCUAAGAGAUUAGAGUUUUCGGUUCGGCCGGACGAAACACAGGUGCUGCAUGGCUGUCGUCAGCUCGUGUCGUGAGAUGUUGGGUUAAGUCCCGCAACGAGCGCAACCCUCACUUUUAGUUGCCAUCAUUAAGUUGGGCACUCUGAAAGAACUGCCAGUGAUAAGCUGGAGGAAGGUGGGGAUGACGUCAAGUCCUCAUGGCCCUUACGUGUUGGGCUACACACGUGCUACAAUGGUAUCUACAACAGGAAGCAAGACUGCGAAGUUAAGCAAAUCCCUAAAAGAUACCUCAGUUCGGAUUGCACUCUGCAACUCGAGUGCAUGAAGCUGGAAUUACUAGUAAUCGUGGAUCAGCGUGCCACGGUGAAUGCGUUCCCGGGUCUUGUACUCACCGCCC